AGCAUACUGACGGUUCAGAUAUCCCGAAAGCCAGGCCUCUUAUGCAAACAGCCUAGUUAUGGGUACAAAGGAAGAGUUUGGAAGGAAAUUAAGAAUGUAUUUCCAGUCAACAUGGCGACGAUAAGAAAGUAGGACAGGCUUCUUGCUGAUGAGUGAAAGCUUUAGUGGUCUGGGUGGGAGAUAAAACCUGCCAGAACAUUCCCUUGGUGUUCAAGCCUAAUCCAGAUCAAAGCCAUAGCUCUCUUCGGUUCCGUGAAGGCUGGGAGAGGUCAGGAGGCUGCAGAAGAAAAAGCGGCUUCCUGAGGUUGAAGCAAAGGAACUAACGGUCUGCAAACAGAACUGAGCAGGGCAAGGCCAGAAGCCAGCGGAGAAGCCGCAGCACGCUCCCACUCCUGGGAAGUUUCCGCUAAGAGCAUUGCUGCAGGUGACUGGACCACACCUCGGAAUGUGGCAAGAAGAUGCCAGAGCCAUAUAGAGGAGCAGCUUCCCUGUGGUUCCCAUUCCUGGGUCACCUUCUUCCCGGAGGAGGGAGAGGACAUUCUUUGCCAAAUAAGUCUUGGUUCCACUUGGAAGAGAGACCGUUUACAAACAGACAGCAGUCUGGGUGUUUCCUGGACUCCCACUCUUCUCAGAUCUCAGCUGGAGUUCCUUUUCUUGGCGGUCUUUCUGCAGGAGUCUCCAGGUCACUUUCCAGGGCUCUCUCCUCCAGCUGGCAGCAGGGGGCUUGAGGCAAGGAGAGGUAGCCCGCCUCCCCCCUGCAGCUUUGCCUAGAUGGAUGGACGUGCCUUUUGUAGCCUGGCCUGGCACCUUGUUCCAUUCCCCUCUUGGUGGACCUUCCUUCCUGCUGCAGGUUACCAAACAGGCCCAAAACUCAGCAACCUCUCUCCUAUGUAACAGGGUUUUUUGUUUGUUUUGUUUUGUUUUGUUUUUGCUUUAAGAUUUGUUUUUAUGAUUUUUAAAUUUAUAUAUACACACACAUAUAUACAUAUAUGUAUAGAUAUAUUUGUAUGUGUGCAUGCAUGUCAUGCACAUGCAGUGUCCAAGGAAGCCAGAAGAGAGAGUUGGAUACCCAAGGACUGAAGCCACAGGCACCAUGAGCCACUGGACAGGGUGCUAAGAGCUGAAUUGGGUUCCUCUGGAAUAGCAGAACCACUCUUAACAGAUGAGCUCUCUUCAGCUCCAUAACCUCCUGUUUUAACAGCCACAGAGCUGUUUCGCUGCUCUGUCCAUAGAAGUCAACCCGGCUUUUCAUCCCAGUCACAUAGUUACACGACCACCAAACAGUCCUCUUCCAGAAACACAGUGGGCAGAAGAGCAAGAUCAAUGACCAGAAGGGUCAGAAGCCAUGACAUAGUCCCAUCCCAUCCUGAAUUCCCAAGAGUCACUUCCAGUUUGGAAAUUGAGACCCAGAGACCAUGUUCUUUCUCAGAAGUGCCAGGCAUGGAGGUAUUACCACUUAUGGUCACUGCAGACUCAAGGGCACUUCCCCUCCACCACAGCCUGGGAGACCACAAGGCAUCCCAUCCCACUCUGAGUUCUGGAAGCAGGUCUCAUGGCUCUUCCAACCCUGAAUCUUCAAAGUCUUAGCUAACUUAGCUAAGUUGGGGACCUUAGCUCUGUGCCUCCAGUUCUCAUCUGCAAAGGAGUCACAAGUCACACCGGUCACUGCAGGUUAUGCACCGGAAGAUGCCUGCUCAGAGCAUGGCUUGGCCUCUGUUUUAAUGCCAGCCACUGGCAAUCAGUAUUCUCGCUAUAUUCUUAUUGGUUCUCAGGAACUCCUAGGAGCCUCACUGGACUGGGGAACAGGGAGGCCUGAGCUGCUCAUCUGUGUACCUCAGAAGGUUGAUACUCAUGCCUAGGACAAGCACUUGACCCCUGAACUGUGUCCCAGCUGUACUAAUCACUUGUCUAUUGGAACAAAAUAUCUGACGAAAGCAACUUCAGGAAGGAAGGGUUUCUUUGGUUCAUGGUUCGAGGGUACAGGCCGUCAUGGUAGAGAAGGCAUGGCAGGAGCUUGAGGCAGCCGACUGCGUGGCAUCUGAAGUCAGGGAGCAUCGAGAGGAGGCUGCUGCUCAGUUUGCCUUCCUCUUUCUAGUCAGGCCUGGACUCUACACAUGGAAUGGAGAAAUCCAAAUUUGGGGUGAACCUUCCAACCUCAGUUAAUUCCAUCUUCAAAACAUGGCCAGAGACUUGUUUCUAAAGUGGUCCUAAAUCCUGUCAAAUUGACAAGAUUAAACGUCACACCAGACCUCUUUUUUAAACUCCUGGUUUGGGUAGUACAGAAGGGGAGAAAUACUCCUUAAAAAAAGAUUUCAGUUUUGUCCUAUAUUCUAAUGCAUUAGCAGCACUUUUAGAAGGCUUUUAAAAAAAUGAAAGAACUUAUAUAACCCAGGCUAGCCUUUAACCUCCUGCAUAGAUGAGGAUGACACUCAAUUUCUGACCGUCCUGCCUUCAGCUCCCGAAUGCUGGGAAUGCAGCCAUGCACCACCAUACCUGGUCUAUGCCAUGGAUUUCAUGCAUGCUAGGCAAGUAUUCUACCAACCAAGCUACAUCCCCAGCCCCAAGUAUGUGCUUUAAAUAUCACUACAGUUUUCAUAUUCUGUUUUCCUCAUUAAAAAAAAAUUGAUAGAAACACAUACAAUUUUUCAUUUUAUAUCUGGGAUGUAAGCAUUUUAAAACCCUGGCUUUGGGGCUGGUGAGAUGGCUCAGCAGUUAAGAGUGCCGACUGCUCUUCCAAAGGUCCUGAGUUCAAAUCCCAGCAACCACAUGGUGGCUCACAACCACCUGUAACAAGAUCUGAUGCCCUCUUCUGGAGUGUCUGAAGGCAGCUACAGUGUACUUACAUAAAAUAAAUAAAUUAAAAAAAAAACAACCCUGGCUUUGAUCCCUAGCAACACACACACACACACACACACACACACACACACACACACACACACAGAGCUGUCACCACCAUUUUCCCAGAACCUUUCCAUCACCAGAUAGGAAACCCCAUGGGCACCUCCAUCCCUGUCAACUUCAGAUCCUCUUUCUCUCUUCAUGAGCAAUACAUGAUCUCCCUUCCUGUUAGCACAGUGCCCCCAAGGUGCACCAGCAUAGCAGCAGGGGUCAAUACCUCACUGCUUUGGAUGAAAUGGCAUUUCCCUGUACAGCUGGUGAUUCCAUGUUGUUUUAUUUACUCAUUGGAACUAGAGAGGAUCUUUCCCCUACACUUUAAGCUAUUGUGAAUAGCAUAGCUGAGAACACUUAGGGCCAAAAUUUGAGGGAACCCCUGUUUUAAAUUCCUAGUUAGGGUUUUACUGCUGUGAACAGACACCAUGACCAAGGCAACUCUUAUAAGGACAACAUUUAAUUGGGACUGGCUUACCGGUUCAGAGGUUCUGUCCAUUAGUACCAAGGUGAGAGCAUGGCAGCAUCCAGGCAAGCAUGGUGCAGGAGGAGCUGAGAGUUCUACAUCUUCAUCUGAAGGCUGCUAACAGAAUACUGGCUUUCAGGCAGCUAGGAUGGUCUUAAAACUCACACCUUCUCCAAAAAGGCCACAUCUAUUUGGACCUUCUAAUAGUGCCAUUCCCUGGGCCGAACAUAUACCAACCAUCAUAAAUUCUUUUUUUUUUUUUUGGUACAGAUGUAGGCAUGGAAUUGCUUGGUCAUGCAGUUAGUCUGCAUUUAACUAAUUUGGGGACAACUGGGCCCUUCCUCACUGCCUGCAUGGUCCCCAGCUCUUGGUACCAAGCUUACUUCCAGACUGGAAUAGUUUGUCUCCUGCCUUCCAGGCUGUGAGCUAUUUGUAGCAGACAUUCUGUCCUCUCUGUUUCGGAGGUAUGUUUUCAGCAUGGCACCUGGCACACUGGUGGUUCUUAGUCCAUGUUUAGUUAGUUCCUUUGCUCAUUUAUUAGUUAUCUAGUUUUGAGAUAGGACCUCAUUUUAUAGCCCAGGCUGGCCUGGAAGUCACUAGGUAGUUCAGGAAGGCCUUAAACUUAUGACCCCUCCUACCUCACCACACCCAGCUCAAGCCUACAUUUUGUAAAUGACUGCAUCACCCUGUAAAGCCAUCUGAGUAAAUUCUAUUCCAUGUGAGCUCUCUAGAGAGAAGUAAAGACACAGGGAAAUGGGGGUGGGGGAGCAUUAGAAGCUGUUAUCAGCACAAGAGUCCUCCCCACCAGCCAUGCUACCAACAAGGUUGAGUGCUCGCUGGGUGCCAGCUCUUGGAAGAAACUCUCCCUGGCUAGAAACACUUCCUGCAGAGCAGCGUUGCAAACACCCUAGAGAGAUCUCCCACAACUCGGUGGCUCCGAAUUAGUACCUUCCCAUACAACAGAGGAGAAACUCUAGCCAAAUGCAUGUUGGAAGACCCCCAGAAUCUCCCCCAUUCCUUUCAGUCUGUCAGCAAGCAUUGAUUGAGCAUCUACAACCUGCUGGGCCCUGCACUCCACGCGCUACUCUUAAAUGAGUUCUCGACCCAAGGGACAGACGUGUCCUGCUUUUAUGGACCGCUGAGUUUGAUGGAUGAGAAGAACAUGAACAAAUGUUUAUUCAAAUAGAAACUGAAGGUACUGUGCUAAAUGUGACCCAAAGUCGGGCUCUCGGGGUGUUGUAGGAAGAGAAAUACCAAGGAUGCCUAAUCUAGGGAGAGCCUUCCUGGGGAUGAGCAUUUCAGGCUAAUGGUGACAGGGAGUCAUGAGUAGGAGGGUAGUAUGUGAGAGCAGAAGGGCAUUCUGGGAAGGCAGAGGACUUGAGCGAAGCUCCAAGACUGCCCUGGUGGCUCAAGUCAAUGAGUCGAGGGAGGCCCGGAGCCAGGCCAUGAGCUGAGUAAGGCUGGAAAGCACAUGGAGAGCUCAGGUUGGGGUCAGAUUGUACGGGGCUUUGGAAACUAUAUUAAGGUUUUGUCAUUUAUUCAAGAGGCCAUGAGAAAUCCUGUUCAUUUUUAUGUGUGUGUUCCCAAGAAGACUUAAUAAAGUGUCUGUCUCACCACUCACUGAGUCUCCCCUUUAAGUCUCAUGGUUUUUUUUUUUGUUUGUUUUUGUUUUUUUAGAGUAGUUGCCCAUUAAGGAGCCCCCAAUAUGGCACCUACAGAUCCUUAUUGUCUUGUGUUCUUACCCAUGGGGGAGUCUCCUCCCAAUUUUCCCAUUCAAGGGUGGUCUGGGAUACCAAUAGAAUAUGGUAAUAAUGGUCGUAUGCCACAAUACGAUAGGUUACAAAAGACUCCCAUUUUUACUUCCCUUGAGUCAUGUGCUAUUGGAGAGCCAGCUCUGUUAUCAGGACACCCAGGCAGCUUCCAGAAAGGCUCGUGGUAAGCAGCAGAGGUCUCUUCUCUAGCCAGCAGCCACGAAGGAGUCUAGAGCCCUCCAGCCUUCUGAUGGCCACAGCCUACUCCACGGCCAGACUAGGACAUCUUAAGAGUCCUUCAGUCGGCCGGGCAGUGGUGGCGCACGCCUUUAAUCCCAGCACUUGGGAGGCAGAGGCAGGCGGAUUUCUGAGUUCAAGGCCAGCCUGGUCUACAGUCACAUACCCCGUCUCAGCUUAAGCCAUCCCAGGAUGCCAACCUCAGAACCAUGAUAAUAAAUCAUGAUGAUAAAUAUUGGUUUUAAUUUACCAACUCUAAAACAACUUGUAGCACAGCAACAGCUCAUAUAGCUGCGAGUAUUUCCCAAUUUCCCAAGUUCUCCAGUUAACAACUGAACAACUGCUGCUACCAAAGAGAAAU